AAUCAACGCUGGCGGCGUGCCUCAGACAUGCAAGUCGAACGAUUAAAGCUCUCUUCGGAGAGUGUAUAGAGUGGCGCACGGGUGAGUAACACGUAAGUAAUCUACCCUCGAGUGGGGAAUAACGUCCGGAAACGGACGCUAAUACCGCAUAAUGCAGCGGCACCGCAAGGUGACAGUUGUUAAAGGAGAAAUUCGCUUGAGGAGGAGCUUGCGGCAGAUUAGCUUGUUGGUAAGGUAACGGCUUACCAAGGCUACGAUCUGUAACCGGUCUUAGAGGACGGUCGGUCACACUGACACUGAAUAACGGGUCAGACUCCUACGGGAGGCAGCAGUCGGAAUUUUGGGCAAUGGGCGAAAGCCUGACCCAGCAACGCCGCGUGAAGGAUGAAGUAUUUCGGUAUGUAAACUUCGAAAGAAUAGGAAGAAUAAAUGAC
rnacentral:rRNA from 1 species